rnacentral:rRNA from 1 species
CUCAAAGGAAUUGACGGGACCCCGCACAAGCGGUGGAUUAUGUGUUUAAUUCGACGCAACGCGAAGAACUUACCAGGCCUUGACAUACUCGGCAAAGCUCUAGAGAUAGAGUGGAGGUUAUCCGGGAUACAGGUGGUGCAUGGUUGUCGUCAGCUCGUGUCGUGAGAUGUUGGGUUAAGUCCCGCAACGAGCGCAACCCUUGUCUUUAGUUACCAUCAUUCAGUUGGGGACUCUAGAGAGACUGCCGGUGAUAAACCGGAGGAAGGUGGGGAUGACGUCAAAUCAUCAUGCCCCUUAUGGCCUGGGCUACAAACGUAAUACAAUGGCGUAUACAAAGGGAUGCGAAAGGGCGACCUGGAGCAAAACUCACAAAGUACGUCUCAGUUCAGAUUGGAGUCUGCAACUCGACUCCAUGAAGGCGGAAUCGCUAGUAAUCGCGGAUCAGCAUGCCGCGGUGAAUACGUUCUCGGGGUUU